UCGUCUUACUGAGAAAAUAGUUCCCAGUAUGUAUACGGUUAGAAGAUGGCUCUAUCUCAUGUGACCUUGUUAUUUGUACACGCUGUGACUACACAAAUCACAACAUGU